AGCGAACGUUAGCGGCGGGCCUAACACAUGCAAGUCGAGCGAGAAAGGGGCUUCGGUCCCGAGUACAGCGGCGGACGGGUGAGGAACACGUAGGUAAUCUGCCUUUCAGUGGAGGACAACGGUCCGAAAGGACCGCUAAUACUGCAUACGUUCCCUUGGACUCCGGUCUGGGGGGAGAAAGCCUCGCAAGGGGCGCUAAAAGAGGAGCCUGCGUCGCAUCAGCUAGUUGGUGGGGUAACGCCUACCAAGGCUAAGACGCGUAGCUGGUCUGAGAGGAUGAUCAGCCACACUGGGACUGAGACACGGCCCAGACACCUACGGGUGGCAG
rnacentral:rRNA from 1 species